ensembl:snoRNA SNORD58 Small nucleolar RNA SNORD58
UGGCAGUGAUGACUCUCUUAGGACACCUUUGGAUUAAACAAUGAAAAUAAUCACUCUCUGAGCCAU